rnacentral:rRNA from 1 species
UUAUUUUAGAGUUUGGAUCAUGGCUCAGGAUGAACGCUAGCGGCAGGCCUAACACAUGCAAGUCGAGGGGCAGCGGGGAAAAGCUUGCUUUUCCGCCGGCGACCGGCGCACGGGUGCGCAACGCGUAUAGAAUCUGCCCCUUACCGGGGAAUAGCCCAGGGAAACUUGGAUUAAUGCCCCAUGGUAUAUGUUGACGGCAUCGUUUUCAUAUUAAAGGUUACGGUAAGGGAUGACUAUGCGUCCCAUUAGUUAGUUGGUAAGGUAACGGCUUACCAAGGCAGCGAUGGGUAGGGGCCCUGAGAGGGGGAUCCCCCACACUGGUACUGAGACACGGACCAGACUCCUACGGGAGGCAGCAGUGAGGAAUAUUGGACAAUGGGCGAAAGCCUGAUCCAGCCAUGCCGCGUGCAGGAAGACGGCCCUAUGGGUUGUAAACUGCUUUUGUACGGGAAGAAACCCGCCCACGUGUGGGCGAUUGACGGUACCGUAAGAAUAAGGACCGGCUAACUCCGUGCCAGCAGCCGCGGUAAUACGGAGGGUCCGAGCGUUAUCCGGAAUUAUUGGGUUUAAAGGGUCCGUAGGCGGGCCGUUAAGUCAGGGGUGAAAUGCUGCGGCUCAACCGUAGCACUGCCUUUGAUACUGGCGGUCUUGAGUUAUGGUGAAGUUGCCGGAAUAUGUGGUGUAGCGGUGAAAUGCAUAGAGAUCACAUAGAACACCGAUUGCGAAGGCAGGUGACUAACCAUAUACUGACGCUGAUGGACGAAAGCGUGGGGAGCGAACGGGAUUAGAUACCCCGGUAGUCCACGCCGUAAACGAUGGAUACUAGCUGUCCGGUACCUUGAGUACUGGGCGGCCAAGCGAAAGUGAUAAGUAUCCCACCU